rnacentral:rRNA from 1 species
GUCUCAGGCCGUAUCAGCCCUGAAAGGCGCCCCGAUCUCGUCUGAUCUCGGAAGCUAAGCAGGGUCGGGGCCUGGUUUAGGAUCUUGGGAUCGGGAGACCACCUGGGAAUCCCGGGUGCUCGAGGCU